CCAGCAGCCGCGGUAAUACGGGGGGGGCAAGCGUUGUUCGGAAUUACUGGGUGUAAAGGGUUCGUAGGCGGUGCGGCAAGUUGGGAGUGAAAUCUCUGGGCUUAACCCAGAGGCUGCUUUCAAAACUGCCGUGCUCGAGUGCGAGAGAGGCCAGUGGAAUUGCAGGUGUAGCGGUGAAAUGCGCAGAUAUCAGGAGGAACACCGGUGGCGAAGGCGGAUCUCUGGGCCAUUACUGACGCUGAGGAGCGAAAGCGUGGGGAGCGAACAGGAUUAGAUACCCUGGUA
rnacentral:rRNA from 1 species